rnacentral:rRNA from 1 species
GAUGAACGCUAGCUACAGGCUUAACACAUGCAAGUCGAGGGGCAGCAUGGUCUUAGCUUGCUAAGGCCGAUGGCGACCGGCGCACGGGUGAGUAACACGUAUCCAACCUGCCGUCUACUCUUGGACAGCCUUCUGAAAGGAAGAUUAAUACAAGAUGGCAUCAUGAGUCCGCAUGUUCACAUGAUUAAAGGUAUUCCGGUAGACGAUGGGGAUGCGUUCCAUUAGAUAGUAGGCGGGGUAACGGCCCACCUAGUCUUCGAUGGAUAGGGGUUCUGAGAGGAAGGUCCCCCACAUUGGAACUGAGACACGGUCCAAACUCCUACGGGAGGCAGCGGUGAGGAAUAUUGGUCAAUGGGCGCAGGCCUGAACCAGCCAAGUAGCGUGAAGGAUGACUGCCCUAUGGGUUGUAAACUUCUUUUAUAAAGGAAUAAAGUCGGGUAUGUAUACCCGUUUGCAUGUACUUUAUGAAUAAGGAUCGGCUAACUCCGUG